CGGGGCUACGAUGGGAUACGCCGCGCGGAGCGGGCUGCGCGUUUGGGCCUGGCUCGGCUCCCGUCCCCCUCGGCAGGUGCCGGCGCCGGCUGCAGCCAUGGACCUGGGGCCGCUGAGGAAAAGCUACCGGGGGGACGAGGAGGCAUUUGAGGAGAAACAUCUCGCCUCCUUUGACCCAAUUAAGCAGUUUGCCAUGUGGUUUGAAGAGGCCAUGCGGUGCCCCUCAAUCGGCGAAGCCAAUGCUAUGUGCCUGGCCACCAGUACCAGGGAUGGGAGGCCCUCUGCCCGCAUGGUGCUCCUGAAGGGGUUUAGCCAGGAUGGCUUUCGAUUCUUCACUAACCACGAGAGCCGGAAAGGAAAGGAGCUGGACUCCAAUCCUUUAGCCUCAGUCGUCUUUUACUGGGAGCCCCUUAAUCGCCAGGUGCGUAUCGAGGGCUCUGUGGAGAGACUUCCAGAGGAGGAAUCGGAGCACUACUUCCACUCCCGGCCCCGAAGCAGCCAGAUCGGGGCUGUCGUGAGUCGCCAGAGCACAGUGAUUCCCGACAGGGAGUAUUUAAGGAAGAAGAACGCAGAACUGGAAGAGCUGUACCGGGAGGGCACUGUGCCAAAGCCUGCGUACUGCUUUUCCAUUGUCGGUUUAGAGCCGCUAUACCUUGUAUGCAGCUGAGUGUAAGCUGGCCAGUCAGGCUGAGGACAGCUAGGGUAGCUACAGUGAAUCUGACGACAGAGGAAAUAGACCAGGAUUUUCUACUCACAGUGACCAAUUACAAAGGUCUUAGCCAAUAGUUACAUCCUUCUUCCUCUCCACCCACCUGUUCAAGGAGCUGUGAUUCUCACUGAUCACUUGUCUGGGACAAAGAACACCUUGUGUGUCUGCAGAAUUCUUCCCCUGUUUAUUUUGGUAACAAACUAUAAGGGUGGAGGCUGCUGGGGAACACAAUACCCCUGGGUUAUCUAGGGGCUGUGUGUUUGUGGAGUGGCUCAUUAUUGGAGGCGGGCGUCUGAAUCAAAGCUGGUGGGAUAAUAUGGCCUUUAUAAUAACUGGAAGGUCACUACUUCCUUUCCUUUCGGCUUCAGGCUCAGCCACUCCCUGCUAAUAAACAGAAAAUCUUUUUGAGCGUCCCUAUUUGUGCUGAUAACAAUGCUCAGGCAAGGAGGGGCCCAGCCUGAUUCACCUCGCCCUCCUGUCCGCUGGGCCAGCAGGUUUGACUCCUAGCAUCAGGAGAUGCGGUGGGGGGCACUGGUAACAUGAGAGGGAGUGCCAGGGCUGGAUGUGCGUGAGUGUGGCUUUCACUGGAAUGGUGUGUCUGAAUGCAUCCCUCUGAAGCGGUACUGGAACCGGAGAGCUCUGCACAAAUUAAGACUAAGCUUGAUAAAUUUAUGGAAGGGAUAGUAUGAUGGGAUAGCUUAAUUUUGGAAUUGAUCUUUGAUUAUCAGCAGGUAAGUAUGCCCAGUGGUCUGUGAUGGGAUGUUGGAUAGGAUGGGAUCUGAGUUACUACAGAGAAUUCUUUCCUGAGUGCUGGCUGGUGAGUCUUGCCCACAGGCUCAGGGUUUAGCUGAUCGCCAUAUUUGGGGUCGGGAAGGAAUUUUCCUCCAGGGCAGAUUGGCAGAGGCCCUGGAGGUUUUUCGCCUUCCUCUGCAGCGUGGGGCAUGGGUCACUUGCUGGUGGAUUCUCUGCAGCUUGAGGUCUUCAAACCACAAUUUGAAGACUUCAAUAACUCAGACAUAGGUUAGGAGUUUGUUAUAGAAGUGGAUGGGUAGGAUUCUGUGGCCUGCUUUGUGCAGGAGGUCAGACUAGAUGAUCAUAUUGGUCCCUUCUGAUCCUAAAGUCUAUGAGUCUAUGAAUGCACCCUCCUUCUAAAGCACUUCCCCCCAAUACGUCUACAUGCACGCUUCACCUCUACGGCCUCAAGAGCUAGAGUCUGAAAGUAGCGUUCCAUAGCCUCAACAGUGGCACCAGUUAGGCCGUGAAGACUCAUCCCCCACAGCUAGGUGCAGGGAGACACCAUCUCCUUUAAUUUAGAUCCAGUAUCACCUGCCCCCUUGUCUAGUGGUGGAGGGUGAGGGUCCCUCGAUCUUUCCGAGCAGAACAAUUUUCAAUCUGAUCCAAGCCCUGGGGUGUUUUCACAGAUCAACCACUGAGCUCCCUUUGUUUUCAGGUUUGUUUAUUAACAAAGAACAUCUACAAACACUUACAAAAGAUGGGUCUUCAAAAAACAAAUCAAUGUCCGGCUCCAGAUAUGAGCCCUAACUAUGAGCUACAAGUGUGUUUUGUCUCUUAAGGGUGCAAGGUGUUUACCUCCCACCCCCAAGCCACUGCAACCCGCCUUCACUUUGUGUAUGGUGGCCAAACCUCAGUCUCACUAGCACUGGGAACAGUUCACCUUUUAACUGCCCACCCCCUGAAUUAGUGACUCUGAACAUGAAGAAAGUGCCAGCCAGCCAGGAAGAUCAAGGCCUCUAAAGUAGCAGCAGCACAAUGGCUCUUGGAAAUUAAAAAGGCCAGCAAACUUUUCCUUUUGUAACCUGGUGGGGGGGAAGGGGGAGAGAACUCUGCAUCAUUGCAACAGGCGCUUCCGCCAAAAACAUCAUGAAUUCAGCAGCUGCUCCUGUGCGCAAAGUUCAGCAAAACACGUGCAUUUUAUGAGUGCAAAAUGGCUUGAUGAGUGAGUUAUUAGAAUCUCUGCUGCUAAAGUCCAUCUGGGCUGCCAGGCAUGUGUGACUGGUAGCCACUCAGAGGCAGUUGAAUUCAGUUAACAAAUAACCUUGAAUUUAAGUUACUGGGAGCAUGUACGUGUCCUUUGCAGAAGGAAACUUAAAAGUGCCAUUAUGGUCAGAAAGCUGACUCAGAAGCUGGCCCCUUCUUGCUCAUAGCAGGAAACUGAGGCAUAGUCCAGGCUUUCUCAUUCCCGAUGCUCCCGUGCUAAUCGCUACUAGACAGUCUGUUCUCUCCUCUUAGAGCGUCUCUAGCAGACUCCAGCUGGUUUCUACAUCAACCAGUGCUCAGCAGUGAGUCUAAGAAAAUAAGCUCUCCGGGCCGUAACCCUGUUCCAAAGCCCUCAGACCCCCUACCCGACUGGCAGCAGUUUCUCCUAUCAGUGGAAUCUUUUGUUCUCUUACCCCAGCACCCUCCCGCUGGCUGGAAGAUCAGAUCUACUCAAGUGUUGCUCUGUAGUAGCUGGAGGCCAAGAGAGGCUGUUGCUACAGCUAAGGGUGGUUCUCCUUUAGCUCAACUGGCUGAGUGCUGCUCUCCAAGACAUGAAGAUCACGGGUCCUGUAGCCUUUAGUGGCGCAGUUCAGCUGGUGACUGCCUGUGGCCAAGUAGUUCUCUUUCCCAGGCCAGGGAAUAAUCUCUGUGGUAUUAAAAGGUGCAACCCUGUCUCCCA